rnacentral:RNase_P_RNA from 2 species
GCGGUCAAGUUACAUGCAGGGUGCUCAUCACCCAUUCCUAACAGCCUUGUGGAAGGUCUGAGACAAAAAAACAAUCAGUGUCCUUAUAGGGCAUCACCUGAGACAGGUGUCUGAGUUUCCAGCCAGAUUGAGCCCUGAGUUGAGGCGCUAGGCAGAAGAAGUGAGCAGAGGGUCUCCUCCCUGGGCAGAUGGCAAUUCCCUGGCCCAGUGAUUGGGACAGACUCAUGCCAGAAGCUCCGAGUUCUUUGGGCUGAGGGGAGGCCAGUGCCCCAAACAGACCUCAGACUCUCCUGC